rnacentral:misc_RNA from 1 species
GGAAGAAGAAAAACGGACAAAAGUGUAACGCAUCGCGAGCAUCUACGAAUGCUGGAUGCGUGCAACGGCCGCGCACCGUACGUCCUCCCUUUCAUUCUUUGUGGCACCUGCAGCUACCCUUUCCAACCCCUACGACACAGCCAGCUAGCGGGAGCGAGACGACCGACAGGUGGCGUCGGUAGGAGCAGGAGAGCGUCGGGUCUCGGGGAGAGGGUCGAGCGCAUGCGCUGCAGGACCCGCGGGGGUUCCCCGGCACGAUCAGUCGUGGCCGGCGGUGCCGGAGGCCAAAGACUUUCGCGAGGGUGGACGCGCCGCGUUUUCUGCCGGACCUCUUUCGCUCUAUCUACACCUAUACUGUCCUCUCCUCUCCUCUCCGCCGCCGAUUUACGCCGCGACUGCUCCGGCCGUGCACGUAUGACCCUGCACCGCCAACCGCGUGCACUUUCGCGGUCGGCUGCACCACCAUCGACGACGACCACGACACCGAUCGCCGUGUGACACGAGCCCCUACCCUUCAGCGGCUCCGACGCCGCUCAUCUCGCCUCGUCGUCGUCGCCGUCGUUGUCGUCGCGUGCACCCCGCGCGUACGUGCCGCGCGGAGAGGACCAGAGGACCGAACGUGACCGACCACCAGUCGAUCGACGCGACCGCGACCACGACCACGUCCGCGUUCGCGAAACCCGUCCACGACGACGAGCACCGGCGACGACGCGAUCGCCUUCGUCGCUUCUGCCGGGUCUAAGGUUGACCGAGAUCCAAGGACACGGGAUCGAACGAUGCUGGCCAGCUGCCUAAUCUUCGUCGGUGCAGCGGCGGCGGUGACGUCCACCAGCGGUCACGGUUUCGACGCGCAUUUACGCGGACCAAGCUUCGUGAUGGAGCCGCCGUCGAGGGUGGAAUUUUCAAAUUCGAGCGGCGCUUGGCUGGACUGCACCGCGACAGGAAGCCCACCACCCAACAUCGAUUGGUCGACCGCGGACGGACAUCCGGUGAACGACGUACCGGGGGUGCGGAGGGUGCUGAGGAAUGGCACUCUGGUCCUUCUGCCGUUCGCGGCCGCCGCCUUCCGGCAGGAUGUGCACAGCGCUGCCUACAGGUGCGUCGCGAGCAACUCCGUUGGCAGAGUGCUCAGUCGUGACGUCCAGGUCAGAGCAGUGGUAGCCCAGGCGUACAAAGUCGACGUGGAAGUGAUCGGAGGUGCAUCUAGGGGUUGCACCGCAGUGUUACGAUGCGUCGUUCCCAGCUUCGUGAAAGAUUUGGUGCGCGUAGUGUCCUGGUUGCAGGAACCCUCGUUCUACAUUUAUCCUUCUCUGCAAGGAGAUGGAAAAUUUCACCUCCUGCCAACCGGUGAACUUCUUGUCCACAGUUUAGAGUUCAGCGAUCAAAUUCACGGCUACAGAUGUCGAACGAUGCAUCGCCUCACUAGGCAAGUGGUGGUGAGCUCUGUGGCCAACGUGAGGAUAGCAGAUCAUAGAGGGGUGAUGCCUCCGGUGAUACUCGAGAACUCUGGCGUGGUCCACGUCGCGCAAGACGAAUCAACGUCGCUGGUCUGUGUGGCUCAAGCUUGUCCUGCACCGGAAUAUCGAUGGCAUGCACAAACUGGUUCCGAGCCAAUGCUGGUGCUGUCUGGACCAAGGACCAGGUUGCUAGGAGCUGUUCUGGCCCUAGAAGCUGUCACGUUGGAAGACAGCGGCGUUUAUCGUUGUUCAGCGUCCAAUCCUGGUGGCGAAGCUAGCGCCGAAGUCCGGCUCAUCGUGACAGCUCCACUGCACGUCGAAGUCACGCCGCCAUUGCUGAGCGUCCAUUUAGGAGGUAAUGCCGAAUUUAGAUGCGAGGUCAGCACGCAUCCGCAAGCCGGACCACACUUUGUUACCUGGUACAAGGAUGGCCGCCAGCUGCCAGGCACCGGCAGACAAUCAGAAUUAUUGAGGCUGAACGGUAUCAGCAGGGAAGAUCGUGGAAUGUAUCAGUGUAUCGUCAGACGCACAGAGGGCGACACCGCACAGGCAUCAGCGGAACUACAAUUGGGCGAUGCGCCACCGAAAAUGCUCUACUCGUUCAUCGAGCAAACGUUGCAACCGGGACCGGCUGUAUCCUUAAAAUGCUCUGCAGCUGGGAACCCGACACCGCAAGUUACCUGGGCCUUGGACGGUUUUCCCCUGCCAAACAACGGAAGGUUCCUUAUUGGCCAGUACGGGACAGUUCAUGGUGAUGUUAUAUCGCAUGUUAAUAUCAGUCAUGUUAUGGUGGAGGACGGAGGAGAAUAUUCUUGCACAGCCGAAAAUCGUGCCGGGAAAGUGACUCACGUCGCUCGUCUCAACGUUUACGGUCUUCCAUAUAUUCGACUAAUUCCGAAAGUAACUGCUGUCGCUGGUGAAACUCUCCGAUUGAAGUGUCCAGUCGCCGGGUACCCCAUCGAGGAGAUCAAGUGGGAACGAGCGAAUCGGGAAUUGCCGGACGAUCUUCGGCAGAAAGUGCUGAAAGACGGUACUUUGGUCAUCACGAGUGUGCAGAAGAACGGGGACGCAGGGGUCUACACGUGUUCAGCGAGGAAUAAACAAGGACACAGCGCACGAAGAUCAGGAGACGUCGCAGUAAUCGUACCCCCUAUUAUUGAGCCAUUUACAUUCCAAGAGGGACUAUCCGAGGGGAUGCGGACGUGGACGGUGUGCGGGGUCGCGGCGGGUGAUGCACCCUUAACUAUAUCCUGGCUAAAAGAUGGCCAAACUCCCUUUCCUUUGCCGCCAAAUCUGGCAUCCGUCGCAAACAUCUCCCAACUGGAUUCUUACUCGAGCGUCCUCAGUAUAACGAAACUCGCGGCCGAGCACUCCGGCGACUAUACCUGCGUCGCCGCGAACCCCGCCGCCGAGGUCAGGUACACGGCCAAGCUACAGGUAAAAGUACCUCCGCGAUGGAUCGUGGAACCUACCGAUGUGAGCGUCGAAAGAAACAAGCACGUUGCGUUACACUGUCAAGCACAAGGCGUGCCUACACCAACUAUUGUUUGGAAGAAGGCUACGGGAAGCAAAUCCGGUGAAUACGAGGAGUUGCGGGAAAGAGCAUACACGAAAAUUCUCACUAAUGGUACGCUUCUAUUGCAACAUGUGAAGGAAGACAGAGAAGGAUUUUACCUCUGUCAAGCGAGCAACGGAAUUGGAAGUGGUAUUGGCAAAGUGGUCCAGCUAAAAGUAAACUCUUCUCCAUAUUUUGCUGCACCAUCGAGACUUGUUACUGUGAAGAAAGGUGAUACAGCAACUUUACAUUGCGAGGUACACGGCGACACACCAGUCACCGUCAUUUGGCUGAAAGGCGGGAAAAUUGAGUUAAAUCCCUCGACGAACUAUCGAGUUACAGUGAAACGAGAGGUAACACCAGAUGGUGUGAUAGCACAAUUACAAAUUUCUUCUGCGGAAGCCUCCGAUAGUGGCGCUUAUUUCUGUCAAGCGAGCAAUCUUUAUGGUCGUGAACAACAAUUAGUGCAACUCCUCGUACAAGAGCCACCACAGCCACCAAAUUCUUUAGAGACUGCCAUGGUUUCCAGUCGAAGUAUUAACGUAAAAUGGCAACAUAAAUCUCAAGACACCAGUGAAGUGACUAAAUAUAUACUUCAAUACAAAGAAGGCGAUGCUGGAAUAUGGCAACAGCAAGAAUUCACUGGACCGCCUCUUCCAUACGCCGCUCUUAUCGAUGAAUUAAAACCAGCAACUAGAUAUACCAUACGCGUAAUAGCUGAAGGACCAGCGGGUAGGUCAGUGCCCUCGGCGGAACUGAUUGUUAAGACCGAACCACAAAGACCAGCUGGACCCCCGAUUAAUCUUGAAGCUAGGCCUCUAUCCUCAUCUGAAAUUUUAAUCACUUGGUCUCCACCAUUGCCUGAACUUCGACAUGGUGAUAUUCAGGGAUUCAAUGUUGGCUACAGGGAAACGAGUUCGUCGAACCCCUCGUAUAACUUCAGUUCUGUGUCUGGUGACGGAGAAGAAGGGGGUGCAGAACUUCGGCUAACAGGCCUUCGACCCUAUACAAAGUAUACGUUAGUGGUUCAAGCAUAUAAUCAAGUUGGAUCUGGACCAUUUAGCGAACUUCUGCUCACACAAACAAUGGAAGAUGUACCCAGUAUGCCACCUGAAGACGUAAGAUGCGCUGCAUUAACUUCGCAAUCCCUUCAAGUAUCCUGGCAGCUACCACCUACUACACACACCAAUGGUAUUAUUCAGGGAUAUAAAUUACAUUAUGAACCUGUUUUGGCAGAUAUGUGGCGCAGUGUUGAUGAAAUGGAAGUUCGUAAAACUAAUGCUUUAACCAUUGUUUUAACGGGACUGAGAAAAUUUACUAAUUAUACUAUUCAAGUAUUAGCUUUUACAAGGGUCGGCGAUGGAGUACCAACGACAGUAACUUACUGCCAAACGGAAGAAGAUGUGCCAGGUAGUCCAGCAGAUAUAAAAGUAGUAGUCAGUUCACCACAGGCUCUUUUUAUUUCUUGGCUCCCACCUCUGGAACCAAAUGGAAUUAUUACUAAAUACAAUUUAUACACAAGGGUCGUAGAUGGCCGAGAGGAACUUAAUCACGGUAAAAGAACACUGCCAGCAACAAGCACCUAUUUUGAAGCGACUGAUUUACAGCAACACGUAGAAUAUCAAUUUUGGGUGACUGGUAGCACCCGUGUAGGUGAAGGACAAAGUUCCAGAGUAGCUGCACAAGUACCAACAAAUAGAGUCCCAGCAAGAAUUACAUCUUUUGGAGGCCACGUAGUACGACCAUGGAGAGGAUCUGCCACUCUGGCUUGCAAUGCAGUUGGAGAUUCUACCAGAGAGUGGUAUAAGGGAAUGGCCGAACAAAUUCGUACUGAUACAGCCAGAAACAUACAAAUUUUGCCAUCUGGAGAACUUGUAUUGUCAAAUUUACAAUCACAAGAUGGUGGAAACUAUACUUGUCAGGUGGAGAAUUCUCAAGGGAGCGAUAAGUUGCAUUAUACUUUGACCGUACAAGUACCACCUAGCGCACCCGUUCUGUAUGUAACAAGUUCAACGUCGAGCAGUAUUUUAUUACAUUGGAAACCUGGGCAUACUGGUGGCGCUCCACUCACAGGGUACACGUUACAUUAUCGAACAACACACGGUAACUUAGACGAAUUACAAUUAUCUCGUCAUGCAACGAGCCAUGAAUUAAAGGGUCUUCUUUGCGGUAACACAUACCAACUAUACCUAACAUCGCACAAUAAAAUCGGUAGCAGUCCAUCGUCACCAGUGCUCUCUGUUCGAACGCAAGGACAGGCACCAGGAAUACCACCAGCUGCAGCUUUCCUCAGUCCAAACUCAACCACAUUAGUUCUUCGACUCCAUGUGUGGCCAGAUAAUGGUUGUCCAAUUCUCUACUUUGUAAUUCAGUAUAGACCCAUUAAUGAAUUUCACUGGACAUUAGUAUCAAACAGCGUGAAAAUGCAACGACGUUUUGUGGUGACAAAUUUACAACCAAGUUCGGUUUACCAACUGAAGGUAGAAGCUCACAAUGUGGCUGGUAGCAAUCAGGCAGAGUUUACGUUCGUAACACUAACGAAGGAAGGCGAACCGCCACCUCCAGAACUAUCGAAACGCGGAAUUGCUUCGGCCAUACCAUUCUACGCAGAUGUGAAAGUGAUGCUGCCCCUAAUUGUCGCCACCAUUGCUUUAGUCGCCGCUGUGGUGAUCGUAGCUCUUCGCUGGCGAAGCAAAUAUCUCGGAGACAGAAUGCAACGACCCAUGAAAGAGUCCCAGGAAAAUCAACAGAAUGCUGAAACCCAAAGAGAGCGUUACUAUGCGACGAUUCACAAGGUGGCUUUACAACAAGCGGCGAAUACGGGUGGAGGGCCCGACAAGAUUCCAGACAGCGGAGGACAUCUCGCCGUACGCUACGUUCCAGCUUUCGGAAGGUGGCGGGGGAAGCCUGGCAGGAUUGGGAGGGUUGGGUGGACUGGGAGGCGCGGCGGAAGCUUCAGCAGCCGGCCUCCACUCGAACAACACUCUUCUACACAGCUUCAUGUAUCACGAGCACGCUAUGACCGAAGGUUGCGCAAGCCCUCCACCUGCCGCAACGAGCAUGAAAAGCGUUUCGUCGAGGAGACGGCAGCAGAGAAAGCAACAAACUCCGGGCGAUGUCGAGAGCGACGAGAGCGAGUCUGACCCGGAUCAGCUGACGAGCUCUCGCACGGAGUCUUCCAACCAGCUGGAUGCUGGCAAACUAAAACACAUUCGAGCCGUUUCCGAUGUCAUUUACCAUGGUACGUCGAGCACUUCUUCGGAUAUUUCACCCAUGUCAGAACAGAAGUCA